rnacentral:rRNA from 1 species
UUAUUUAAAUUAUAUAUUAAAAGAUUUUUUACAAUAUUUAUUUUAUAAAAAAGAAGUUUGUAAAAUAAAUAUUAUAAUAAAUGAAAAUAUGAAUACAAAUGUUUUUAUAGAAUAUGGAUUUUAUUUAGAAGGAAUUAUAAAUGAUAGUAGAUUAAUAGAUGGUAUAAAAACUAGUGAAUUUUUAUUUGGAUUAGACAUAGAUACUUUUAGGAAAGCUAAUUUGUAUAAAGAAUUAAGUAUAGAAGGGAAAAAUAUAAGCUUAAAGCUAUUGACGCCUAUAAAUGCACAAGAAUUAUUAGAUUAUUAUAUAAGAAAUGAAAGGCAUCUAAAAAGCUAUGAACCCACACGAGAUAAAACUUUUUAUACUUUAAAAGAGCAAAGGGAUUUAUUAAUGGAUUCAUAUAAACAAUAUUUAAAUGGAAAUAGUUUAGAAUUUGGUAUAUAUAAAGAUAAAAAAUUUAUAGGUAAAAUAAAGAUAUCAAAUAUAAUAAUGGGCAUAUUUAAAAAUUGUAUUGUAGGAUAUUCAAUAGACAAAGAUUUCCAAGGAAAUGGAUAUAUGAAGGAAGCACUUAAAUUAUUGAUAGAUUAUACAUUUAAUGAAAUUGAUAUACAUAGAAUAGAAGCUUCAACUUUAAUAGAUAAUAUUAGAUCUCAAAAAGUAUUGGAAGGGUGCGGAUUUAAAAAGCUAGGUAUAAAUGAAAAAUACUUAUAUAUAGAUGGAAAAUGGCAAGAUCAUGUUACUUAUUAUAUAGUAAAUAAUAAUAUAUAAAUAAACUAUGCUAGGCGUAUCAUAUAUAGUUAUUUUUAGUUAAUUAAAGUAUUUAAAAGAAAAAUUAGAUCUAAAUUUAUAUAAAGGCAUGUUCAACAUUAAACAGCCACAAUAUAUAUGAUAUAAUAACAACUGUUCUUUGGUUCUGAAAAUUAAAAGAAACAAAGGUAGUUGUUAUUUUUCAGUUAUGAUAAAUACAACAAAAACAAAUUUGAAAAAAGUUCUUGACAAAGAACAACAAAUUUGAUAAGAUAUAAAAGUCGCUGAGGCGAUGUGGUCUUUGAAAAUUAAACAGAGAAUUAACAAGAAACAUUCUUGUAACAGCCAGUAAGAUAAGGUAAUAUACCUUGUCAAUGAAUUUGAGAAGAGAUUAAACUUUUAAAUUUAGAGUUUGAUCCUGGCUCAGGACGAACGCUGGCGGCGUGCUUAACACAUGCAAGUCGAGCGAUGAAGCUUCCUUCGGGAAGUGGAUUAGCGGCGGACGGGUGAGUAACACGUGGGUAACCUGCCUCAAAGUGGGGGAUAGCCUUCCGAAAGGAAGAUUAAUACCGCAUAAUAUAAGAGAAUCGCAUGAUUUUUUUAUCAAAGAUUUAUUGCUUUGAGAUGGACCCGCGGCGCAUUAGCUAGUUGGUAAGGUAACGGCUUACCAAGGCAACGAUGCGUAGCCGACCUGAGAGGGUGAUCGGCCACAUUGGAACUGAGACACGGUCCAGACUCCUACGGGAGGCAGCAGUGGGGAAUAUUGCGCAAUGGGGGAAACCCUGACGCAGCAACGCCGCGUGGGUGAUGAAGGUCUUCGGAUUGUAAAGCCCUGUUUUCUAGGACGAUAAUGACGGUACUAGAGGAGGAAGCCACGGCUAACUACGUGCCAGCAGCCGCGGUAAUACGUAGGUGGCGAGCGUUGUCCGGAUUUACUGGGCGUAAAGGGUGCGUAGGCGGAUGUUUAAGUGGGAUGUGAAAUCCCCGGGCUUAACCUGGGGGCUGCAUUCCAAACUGGAUAUCUAGAGUGCAGGAGAGGAAAGCGGAAUUCCUAGUGUAGCGGUGAAAUGCGUAGAGAUUAGGAAGAACACCAGUGGCGAAGGCGGCUUUCUGGACUGUAACUGACGCUGAGGCACGAAAGCGUGGGUAGCAAACAGGAUUAGAUACCCUGGUAGUCCACGCCGUAAACGAUGGAUACUAGGUGUAGGGGGUAUCAACUCCCCCUGUGCCGCAGUUAACACAAUAAGUAUCCCGCCUGGGGAGUACGGUCGCAAGAUUAAAACUCAAAGGAAUUGACGGGGGCCCGCACAAGCAGCGGAGCAUGUGGUUUAAUUCGAAGCAACGCGAAGAACCUUACCUGGACUUGACAUCCCUUGCAUAGCCUAGAGAUAGGUGAAGCCCUUCGGGGCAAGGAGACAGGUGGUGCAUGGUUGUCGUCAGCUCGUGUCGUGAGAUGUUAGGUUAAGUCCUGCAACGAGCGCAACCCUUGUUAUUAGUUGCUACCAUUAAGUUGAGCACUCUAAUGAGACUGCCUGGGUAACCAGGAGGAAGGUGGGGAUGACGUCAAAUCAUCAUGCCCCUUAUGUCCAGGGCUACACACGUGCUACAAUGGUAGGUACAAUAAGACGCAAGACCGUGAGGUGGAGCAAAACUUAUAAAACCUAUCUCAGUUCGGAUUGUAGGCUGCAACUCGCCUACAUGAAGCUGGAGUUGCUAGUAAUCGCGAAUCAGAAUGUCGCGGUGAAUACGUUCCCGGGCCUUGUACACACCGCCCGUCACACCAUGAGAGCUGGUAACACCCGAAGUCCGUGAGGUAACCGUAAGGAGCCAGCGGCCGAAGGUGGGAUUAGUGAUUGGGGUGAAGUCGUAACAAGGUAGCCGUAGGAGAACCUGCGGCUGGAUCACCUCC